UGGGGAAUAUUGGGCAAUGGGGGCAACCCUGACCCAGCGACGCCGCGUGGGGGAAGACGGCCUUCGGGUUGUAAACCUCUUUUGUACGGGAAGAAGGAAGUGACGGUACUGUACGAAUAAGUCCCGGCUAACUACGUGCCAGCAGCCGCGGUAAUACGUAGGGGACGAGCGUUGUCCGGAAUUACUGGGCGUAAAGGGCGCGCAGGCUGUGCUGCAAGUCAGCUGU
rnacentral:rRNA from 1 species